AAAAAAAAAAAAUCAGAUUAAAAAACAAAACCCCCAAAUAAACAAACCCUGUGCUGUCUAACAAAAUACAACUGCCUUUCAGAGAAUGUUAUAAUGAUGGUUUGUGAUAUCUGUUGUAAAAUGAGUUCCUGGAUUUUCUCCAAACUUCCCUUCCUCUGACAAAGCAUCUCUGGUGUCCCAGAAAAUAAAUUAUUAAACUAAAUUCCACAAAUAUUUUUGAGCCUCUAAUAAGCAAAAAGUAGUUUUCUAGGUAUUUGAAAAAUAUGAACAUGAAAAACCAUGAUCUUUGUUCUCCAAGUUUGCAGUUUUGUAAUCAAGUUAAUACAAACACCAAAACAACUAUAAUUAAAACUAACAUGGAGUUUUGUGAGUGGUACAAAUAAAGUCCUGGGAAGGGAAAUAUGAAAACCAUGGAAGAGUCAGGGCAAGGUGCAUUUGUGGACGAUUUUCAUAAGCGAUAGGUGAAGUUUGGAGACUUUCUAUGGGGGAAGAAAGAACCUGAGAAAAGGUACAGUGAGAGUCAAGUGAGAAAGUAUUUGAGGAACCAGUGUUUAAAUAAUUUACCAGAAAUAGAAGAGAGGUGUUGGGGAUUUACAUGCGAAAACUUCCAUGGAAGGUUAGAAAUCAAUGGUAGGCCAAAGAGUUUUGACUUAACUCAAUAAGCUGCUUGAGAGAGGCAGCUGUGUAACCCUGAGCAAAUCUUUAAAAUUCAUGACAUGCCAUUUCCAUUACUUGUCAUAUGAGGCAUAACCUACUUGGAAAUGUGGUGUGAAACAUAAAUUAUAUCAGUAAAUUAAUUCUUGUGAACCUUGCAAGUUAGUUAUUGUUAGUGAUGGGCAACCACUGAAGGAUUUGGACCAGGAGAAGGAUGUCAUGGGAACUAUGCUUUUAGGGAAAUUAAUCUGGCACUUGUGCUUUGAAUGCAUGCAUGGUAAAAAGACAAGCAAAAAAAGACCAAUAGAAAGUUAAUUCACUUGCAAUAUACAUAUUUUUGAAUGUGCAACAAUACAUGUAUAUUCUUCUAAAUUGAAAAAGUACAAGAGGUUUUGUAAGGAGUAGGCCCCUCUCUUUGAAUGUCCCCCAACCAGCCAGCUGUCUGUCCCUGACACAAUCACAAUAACCAGUUUUUAUGUUUUCUCCCAGAUAUUAUCUGCAUAUUUGUAAACACACACGUGUGCACUAUUUCAGUUUUGGAGCUAUUUCUAUUUCAGAUAGGAGGAGAUCUUCAGCUCAGAUACCACGUGAGCCUGAAUUCCAUUUCGAACUGACAAGGCGAUGCCAGACUGCGGAACCUGUGGAAUGUGGAGGAGCAGCCUGCGAGGUCACCUGGGGCCUGUGGGAUUUCCAGCCUCAAAUACUGGUACACAAGCGGACAUCCAAUCCAAUUUUGACCACAGGCAUCUGAAGGGGAGUUUGCUGGGAAAUUCAACAAGUUUCCUAUCUUCUAAGAUGUUUAUUGAUUAAUGUUUAUUGAACCCUAUUACAUGUUAGGGUUCAGAGAUAAACCAUGGUGAAAAGUUAGCAAGACGGACACAGGCCUUUUCUCUUGGAGUUUAUAUUUCCAGUUGUCCAUUGGGCAUCCUUGCCUAGAUGUUCCACCCAUACAUAAAAAACUCAUGUAAAAUUAAGGUAAUUAUUCCUACCCUGAAGUAUUUCUUUGCUGCUAUUAAGGGACUUCCAUUUCUCAUUUCCUGAGACCUCAAAUAUCAAAUCAUCAACUCUUUUCCUUUGCCUUCCACAAUGAUUACAUUCAUUUUGCUUUACAAAUACGUUGCCAUUUUCUCUUUUCUAUCCUCACACUUCCCUUUUAGUACACCUUCUCAUUACCUUUCAUUUGGUAUAUUGCAAAGUCUCCUAUCAGAUUU